AUUGAACGCUGGCGGCAGGCCUAACACAUGCAAGUCGAACGAGUGGCGGACGGGUGAGUAAUGUCUGGGAAACUGCCUGUUGGAGGGGGAUAACUACUGGAAACGGUAGCUAAUACCGCAUACCCUCGGAUGUGCCCAUAUUGGAUUAGCUAGUAGGUGGGGUAAAGGCUCACCUAGGCGACGAACCCUAGCGGGUCUGAGAGGAUGACCAGCCACACUGGACCGGAGACACGGCCCGUACUCCUACGGGAGGCAGCAGGGGGAAAUAUUGCACAAGGGAGGCAGGCCGGAUGCAGCCAUGCCGCGUGUAUGAGGAGGGCCUUCGGGUUGUAAAGUACUUUCAGCGGGGAGGCGUUACCCGCAGAAGAAGCACCGGCUAACUCCGUGCCAGCCGCCGCGGUAAUAC
rnacentral:rRNA from 1 species